rnacentral:rRNA from 1 species
AAUAGAUACCCUGGUAGUCCACGCCGUAAACGAUGGAUACUAGCUGUUUGAGCGCAAGUUUGAGUGGCUAAGCGAAAGUGAUAAGUAUCCCACCUGGGGAGUACGGGCGCAAGCCUGAAACUCAAAGGAAUUGACGGGGGCCCGCACAAGCGGUGGAGCAUGUGGUUUAAUUCGAUGAUACGCGAGGAACCUUACCAGGGCUUAAAUGUAGAUUGACGUAUUUGGAAACAGAUAUUUCUUCGGACAAUUUACAAGGUGCUGCAUGGUUGUCGUCAGCUCGUGCCGUGAGGUGUCAGGUUAAGUCCUAUAACGAGCGCAACCCCUGUUGUUAGUUGCCAGCGAGUAAUGUCGGGAACUCUAGCAAGACUGCCAGUGUAAACUGUGAGGAAGGUGGGGAUGACGUCAAAUCAUCACGGCCCUUACGUCCUGGGCCACACACGUGCUACAAUGGCCGGUACAGAGAGCAGCCACUUAGCGAUAAGGAGCGAAUCUAUAAAGCCGGUCACAGUUCGGAUCGGAGUCUGA